rnacentral:rRNA from 1 species
UUCGGAAUAACUCGGGGAAACUUGAGCUAAUACCGGAUACGGCUGAGAGGCGAAAGAUUUAUCGCCGGAGGAUUGGCCCGCGUUCGAUUAGCUUGUUGGUGAGGUAACGGCUCACCAAGGCGACGAUCGAUAGCUGGUCUGAGAGGAUGAUCAGCCACAUUGGGACUGAGACACGGCCCAAACUCCUACGGGAGGCAGCAGUGGGGAAUAUUGGACAAUGGGCGCAAGCCUGAUCCAGCCAUGCCGCGUGAGUGAUGACGGCCUUAGGGUUGUAAAGCUCUUUCGCUCGGGAAGAUAAUGACGGUACCGAGAUAAGAAGCCCCGGCUAACCUCGUGCCAGCAGCCGCGGUAAUACGAAGGCAGCGAGCGUUGUUCGGAAUUACUGGGCGUAAAGAGUGUGUAGGCGGUGUUCCCAGUCUGUUGUGAAAUCUCCCGGCUUAACUGGGAGGGUGCAGCGGAAACUAGAAUGCUAGAGGGUGGGAGAGGUAAGCGGAAUUCCUGGUGUAGCGGUGAAAUGCGUAGAUAUCAGGAGGAACACCUGUGGUGUAGACAGCUUACUGGACCACUUCUGACGCUGAGACACGAAAGCGUGGGUAGCAAACAGGAUUAGAUACCCUGGUAGUCCACGCCCUAAACGAUGCAUACUUGGUGUGAGCGAUUCAUUUCGUUCGUGCCGGAGCUAACGCGUUAAAUAUGCCGCCUGGGAGUACGGUCGCAAGGCUGAAACUCAAAUGAAUUGACGG